GUUCUGGCAUUCUGCUAGUGUUUACCGCAGCAGGUUUGCCUCCGGGUCACCUUUAUUAUGACUGUAGAAGACCUGAGGGCGGGAGCGCGCAAUCAUCACGGUCUGUGAUAUUUCUCAGGGACGGAGCAGCUCUGAGACUCUCUACUGCGGCGGCGAGCACAGCUUUCCUCUCACGCAAAGCCCUCAAGACUCAGUCUUUUUUGGCUUUGCUUACCUCUGGUACCUCUGAUCGAUAAGCUCCGCACGACUCAAACAUCACUGUUCCAAUUAUGCGACCCAGAACAACUUUUGCCCUCAUCUUCUGUCAGUUGCUCGAUGCGUAGCGAGAAUUCAUAUAUUCCGUUUGAACGACGGAUGACCAUCAUGUUAAUUGCUGCUGGAUGUAUACUGGUUUGCCGCGUUGUUGGAUUAAACAGGGGACGCGGCACGUUCUAAAGUGUUUUGCGACAUGGAGUCGGAUCGAUAAUGAAUUUAGUUGGGCUCUAAUACUGCUCGGACUAAAGGUAAAAGUCUUCGUCGGAGUGGAUCCUGAGAGACUGAAUAUCUGUGCAGUAACCGCAGGGAUUAAACGCGAGUGGAAUCAAAAGCGCGCGGCUGAUAUGGGUUCUGUUAUUUGUGACAAGAGAUUAGCGGGCCUCCUCCUCCUACAAGCCUCCUCCCUCCUGCUGUUCAGUUCUGGGGAAAGGAUGUGCCCCUAUAGCUGUCGUUGCGAGGGAAAGAUUGUCCAUUGUGAGUCGGCUGGCUUCCAGGACGUCCCAGAAAAUAUUACAGUCAGUUGUCAAGGUCUGUCCCUGCGCUAUAAUGACCUGCACACAAUGCUCCCGUACCAGUUUGCCCAUCUUAACCAGCUACUCUGGUUGUACCUGGACCACAAUCAAAUAAUGUUUGUGGAUAGUCGUGCUUUUCAAGGGGUGCGGCGAUUGAAGGAGUUGAUCUUGAGCUCCAACAGGAUUUCGCAGCUUCAUAAUGUCACUUUUCACGGAGUACCUAACCUACGCAGUCUCGACCUCUCCUACAACAAGUUGCAGGAGCUGCAGCCGGGCCAGUUUUUUGGUCUUCGGAAACUUCAGAAUCUGCACUUACGCUCCAACGGGCUAACGACAAUCCCAGUCCGGGCAUUUCUAGAGUGUAGAAGCUUGGAGUUUCUAGACUUGGGCUAUAAUCGGCUUCGGGUUCUUACUCGUACGGCGUUCCUGGGUUUGUCUCGACUUAUGGAGCUCCACCUGGAGCAUAAUCAGUUUUCACGAAUCAACUUCUUUCUUUUUCCUCGCCUUGCUAACCUCCGUGCCCUGUAUCUACAAUGGAACCGUAUUCGAGCUGUCAACCAAGGCCUUCCGUGGAGCUGGUACACCUUGCAAAAGCUUGAUAUUUCUGGCAAUGAGAUACAGGUGCUAGAUCCUGUUGUUUUUCAAUGCCUCCCCAAUCUUCAGGUUCUCAACUUAGAGUCUAACAAACUGGCCAAUGUGUCUCAGGAGGUUGUGGCUGCCUGGAUCUCCCUAACAGCUAUUAGCCUUGCAGGCAACAUGUGGGAUUGUGGACCAGGCAUUUGUCCUCUUGUUGUCUGGCUCAAGAAUUUCAGAGGCACCAAGGACACUAGUAUAAUCUGCAGCAGUCCCAAGCACCUUCAAGGGGAGAAGGUCAUGGAGGCUUCAAAGAACUACAUUGACUGUGAUGAUUAUGAAAUUACUGCGCAGUCACCUUUGUAUCUGCAGACCUUCGACCCAAAUUAUGACCUUACCCUUGAAACGACCGAACCGACAAUGGCUCCAACAACGCCGCCUCCACCCUUGCCUUCACCUGCCUCUGAGGCGCCUUUUCCGCCUCCACAUCCUCGACCGCCUCAACGCCCCACCUUCCCCAGCCGUGCAAAUCCAGACCCCAGAGACUCCCGUCAAUGGACACCCUCAUCAUCCGACAGCUUAUUAGUCACACCAGCUCCUGAGCAAGACAACGUGUCAUUUCACAAAGUGGUGAUGGGUGGGGUGGCACUAUUCCUCUCAGUGUCUCUUGUCUUGUCAGUAAUUUAUGUCUCCUGGAAACGUUACCCCGGUGCCACCCGGCUGUUGCAGCAGAGUUCAGUGGGCCGAAAGCGGAGGAAAAAGAGUCAGGAGCCAGAACAGAACCUGAGCUCCCAGCUCCAGGAAUAUUACAUGAGCUACAACCCCGCAGCCACACCAGAAGCCUUGGAGGUGCUGGGCAAUGGUACAGGUACCUGUACCUGCACCAUAUCCGGCUCCCGGGAAUGUGAGGUAUGACAUGUGAAAGCCGCCUAAAAUCAAAUCAGAUCAAAACAAAUGAACGACUCAGGAAAUAGAGAAUGAAUACACAUGUCCCCGACCGUUACCUGGAGCUUGGAUUGGAGACAUACCCACCAUACACUGAAUGGACUGUUUUGUUCCCCCAAAAUAAUCCACCGACGAAGGAUUUGUGCCUACCUGCAUUUCAUCAGUCGCAUCAAGCUUGUUCUCAUGAUACCACUCAUGCUUUCAGUGCUUCUUUAAUGGAUUGUGGUGGAUAUUCUUCAGUCAGACACUGCAAACAGACAUCUGAGAGACAGCGGGAACAGAUGCCUCAGAUACAUAUUUUACUAAAAUGCAUUUGGAUGCCUCAUUCUGUUCUUUAAUGCGCCUGGAUACAUGUCAGGUUUAUUUGGGAAGCCUUCGGUGGGACAUACCAAUGAAAGUGAUCCAGCCUUCAAUGAAUCGCCCAGCGUCAUUUGACGAUUGUGUGGACAUAUACAGAAACUUUGUUAAUAUACCCUCCGAAUUUAAAACAGGACUCGUCCUUUCCUUUGUUAUUUAAUGUAAAUCCUCUGAAAAUUUGUGUAUCAGAACAACUAAAUAAAACAGCUGAUUAAUCUUUGCUGCCUAAUACUGGAUUUGUUAAUGCUUUGAGUUUCUGCAAACUUCUCUGUACAGUUUUAUUUGAGGAGAUUCUCAAGUUUACAUGCCCUUCAUAACAGUAACUUCAUACUGUUAUUCGGAGUUCUUUAAACACAACCUGUGAUCUCAUUGACUAUGCCAACACCGUCUCAAUGUUUGAGUGUAUGUAGUUUCAUUUUAUAGGAGAGUGGGUAAGGAAAUGUCAAGAUGUGAAUAUAGAGAAUGCAUUUAAGUCCUAGUUUAAAGGCAAAGUGUCAUUUUUUUUCAAUGUUGACAUAAUUGCAGAAAUGAUUCACCUGUAUAUUUGUUGGUGAAGCGUGUGUGUGUGUGUAUUGGGUAUUGAUUUUUUUCAUUCUGCCCCUCAACUUGAAAGUGUAAUUUAUUUAUAUGCUCCCGCAUUUUAAUUUAAUAAUUAAAUUUUGUAACAAACUGUAUACAUUGAACACCACCAAGUUCUGUUUUAUAAUGAGAAUGUUGUCAAAAUCAAUGAUGAGAAAUAUACAUUUGUCAAAUGGAAAUUAGUAUUGAUCAACUUGUUCAUUUUUAUGCAUUUAUUAUUAAUACUUUAUUUAACAAUAUGGAUUUUCUUGCAAAAGGAAAUUGAAAAAAUUCCUGAGAAGAACUGAGGAGGCUCGAAAUCACUGGUUAACAGUUCAUGUAGCUCGUACAUGAAAAUUAGAAUUUAACACUGUUAGGUAAAAUAUUAGCCCAAAAGAUUAUAAUUACGAUUUUUGUAAAUAUUUUACAAAAAUGCUCACCAAAGCUGCAUUUAUUUGAUCAAAUAUACAGAACUACUAUUGUGAAAUAUUAUUACAAUUUUAAAGAGCUGCUUUCUAUUUGAAUAUAUUUUAAAAUGUAAUUUAUUUCUGUGAUGGCAAAGCUGAAUUUUUUUGCAUUUAUAUUUUAAGCUGAGACUACGUCUCAAACUUUGCCAUUAAGUUUGCUUGUGCCAAAAUCACCGCAAGUCAUUCAUUUUUAAUAAGAGCUGGCGAUUUCUGGCAACACGGGUGACGAUGUAUGCAUUUUUUUUCUCAUUUGUGAUUAGUUUUUGAAAUCUACAGCCAAUUCCACACUCCCAGCAGUGAGUGCUGCAACCUUCAGUGCUGAAAAUCUGUCAUUGUAAACAAGUUAGUAAAAGAAAGUUCAAGCUACUUGGCUGCAUCCGCACGCUCAAGGAAACGUCUUUCCAUAUAUCUCCUCUUUGAGAAGCUGUCAGAUCAAUAUUGGCCUCGUAACCCUGAAGGAGAGCUUCUCCGAUUUGUGCCAGCCCUGGCCUCUUCAAACAAACAAAACUCUGGAUGUUCGAAUCUCAUCCCGGCAUGUCAUAAUUAGCACUAAAUAUGCCAUUUCUCAAGAGGGGGCUAACAUGAAGAGUUCGCCCUGCGUCGAGUCCUGCAGGAACACGUCAAGCUGUCUGAUAUGCGGUCCAGAUGGCAAAUCAGCCCCGGUGUUUUCCUACAGUGUUGUAUCUCCCCCCUUUCUCUCUUGCCUGCCGAAGCGACAGCUAAACAGACACAGCACUGUGUUCGACCGAACUCUGCCUAUGAAUUAUUCAUCACCCCCCCUAUCCCUUCUAGUUCGGAAAGGAGUCUUGACAUUUCGCCCAGUCAACGGCCUCCUACUGGAAGAGUGCUGUGUUCAGAGGACCCGACUACAUCCAGAUAUUGGCUGUUGUGUGCUCUAUUAACCUCAAUCAUGAUGCCCCAAGAGUGCACAGGCACAAAAGACCAAAAAAUCAGUUUUGUGAAAUAGCCCGUGUGAGUUGAAGUAAAAGGCGUGUUAAAUGUCAAACUAAAACUCGGAGUAAUACUUUGUUUGA